rnacentral:rRNA from 1 species
UACAGAGGUCCCAAGCGUUGUUCGGAUUCACUGGGCGUAAAGGGUGCGUAGGUGGUGGGGUAAGUCGGAUGUGAAAGCUCGGAGCUCAACUCCGAAAUGGCAUUGGAAACUACCCUGCUAGAGGAUUGGAGGGGGGACUGGAAUACUUGGUGUAGCAGUGAAUGCGUAGAUAUCAAGUGGAACACCAGUGGCGAAGGCGAGUCCCUGGACAAUACCUGACACUGAGGCACGAAAGCUAGGGGAGCAAACAGG